GACGAACGCUGGCGGCGUGCUUAACACAUGCAAGUCGAACGGCAAGGCCGUGCUUUUGUGGGGUGCUCGAGUGGCGAACGGGUGAGUAACACGUGAGUAACCUGCCCUUGACUUUGGGAUAACUUCAGGAAACUGGGGCUACUACCGGAUAGCAGCUCCUGCUGCAUGGUGGGGGUGGGAAAGUUUCGGCGGUUGGGGAUGGACUCGCGGCUUAUCAGCUUGUUGGUGGGGUAGUGGCUUACCAAGGCUUUGACGGGUAGCCGGCAUGAGAGGGUGACCGGCCACAAGGGGACUGAGAUACGGACCAGACUCCUACGGGAGGCAGCAGUGGGGAAUAUUGCCCAAUGGGCGGAAGCCUGAUGCAGAAACGCCGCGUUCGGGAUGACGGCCUGCGGGUUGUAAACCGCUUUCGCCUGUGACGAAGCGUGAGUGACGGUAAUGGGUAAAGAAGCACCGGCUAACUACGUG
rnacentral:rRNA from 1 species